CUGUGUGUUCCCAACAACCUAGGUGAUUGACGGUUUUCACAUACACUUAACUCUCAGAUUUGAGCACGAGGAGAGAAGUUCGUUCAUCUAGCAUAAAGGGAAUGG